rfam:Felis catus isolate Cinnamon breed Abyssinian chromosome E1, whole genome shotgun sequence.
GCCUGGGUGGCUCGGUGGGUUAAGCGUCUGACUUCGGCUCAGGUUGUAAUCUUGCGGUCCGUGAGUUCGAGCCCCGCCUUGGGCU